rnacentral:rRNA from 1 species
GUAGGUGGCGAGCGUUAUCCGGAUUUAUUGGGCGUAAAGCGCGUGCAGGCGGUUCUGUAAGUCGGACGUGAAAGCUCCUGGCUUAACUGGGAGAGGUCGUUCGAUACUGCAGGACUUGAGGUCGGGAGAGGGACGUGGAAUUCCCGGUGUAGUGGUGGAAUGCGUAGAGAUCGGGAGGAACACCAGUGGCGAAGGCGGCGUCCUGGCCCGCACCUGACGCUAAGACGCGAAAGCGUGGGUAGCGAACGGGACUAGAUACCCCGGGUAGUCCACGCCGUAAGCGGUGGAUACUAGGUGUUGGUGGCUAUCGUCAUCAGUGCCGUAGCUAACGCGUUAAGUAUCCCGCCUGGGAACUACGGCCGCAAGGCUA